rnacentral:rRNA from 1 species
GACGAACGCUGGCGGCGUGCUUAACACAUGCAAGUCGAACGGAAAGGCCCUGCUUUUGUGGGGUGCUCGAGUGGCGAACGGGUGAGUAACACGUGAGUAACCUGCCCUUGACUUUGGGAUAACUUCAGGAAACUGGGGCUAAUACCGGAUAUGAUCUCCUGCUGCAUGGUGGGGGUUGGAAAGUUUCGGCGGUUGGGGAUGGACUCGCGGCUUAUCAGCUUGUUGGUGGGGUAGUGGCUUACCAAGGCUUUGACGGGUAGCCGGCCUGAGAGGGUGACCGGCCACAUUGGGACUGAGAUACGGCCCAGACUCCUACGGGCGGCAGCAGUGGGGAAUAUUGCACAAUGGGCGGAGGCCUGAUGCAGCAACGCCGCGUGCGGGAUGACGGCCUUCGGGUUGUAAACCGAUUUCGCCUGUGACGAAGCGUGAGUGACGGUAAUGGGUAAAGAAGCACCGGCUAACUACGUG